rnacentral:siRNA from 1 species
CAGGUCCGGCCAGCUCAUUGGUA